rnacentral:rRNA from 1 species
AUUGAACGCUGGCGGAAUGCUUUACACAUGCAAGUCGAGCGGCAGCGCGGGGCAACCUGGCGGCGAGCGGCGAACGGGUGAGUAAUACAUCGGAACGUGCCCAGACGUGGGGGAUAACUACUCGAAAGAGUGGCUAAUACCGCAUACGAUCUAAGGAUGAAAGCGGGGGAUCGCAAGACCUCGCGCGUUUGGAGCGGCCGAUGGCAGAUUAGGUAGUUGGUGGGGUAAAGGCUUACCAAGCCCGCGAUCUGUAGCUGGUCUGAGAGGAUGAUCAGCCACACUGGGACUGAGACACGGCCCAGACUCCUACGGGAGGCAGCAGUGGGGAAUUUUGGACAAUGGGCGAAAGCCUGAUCCAGCCAUUCCGCGUGCAGGAUGAAGGCCCUCGGGUUGUAAACUGCUUUUGUACAGAACGAAAAAGACUCUUUCUAAUACAGAGAGUCCAUGACGGUACUGUAAGAAUAAGCACCGGCUAACUACGUGCCAGCAG